rnacentral:lncRNA from 1 species
UACCAUGGCGACGCUAUUUACAUGACCUAUGGAAGACCACGUGACCAUGAGAGAACUUGACCUUAAAUGCCUAGUUAUUCAAUGUCGAAAACACCACCACCAAUACCAUUUUCAGAAUCAACCCUCACCACAGAUUAUUAUAUGCCCUAUAGAAGCCCCAAAUUUUCUUAAGAGAAUGUAAGGGAAUAACUCUCAAGCUCCCUGCUCAAAUAGAUACUGCUAACCGCAUACACACACACGACCCCCUCAACAUCAGGGAACGACCAAACCAACUUCAAGCUAGAAUGAGCUCCCUGUUAUAUGGAGGCUCAGCCAGCCAUUUAGGAGCCAGACGAAGCAUAUUGGGCAUCUGUUAAAUGAAGCCUUCAUACUCACCAGUCCCCUCAAUGCCUAUUCAAGAUGUCCCCUCAAUGCCUAUUUAAGAUAUUGUUGACUUCCAGCCAAGUUAUUCCAUUCUUGGUAGGGUGCAGUUUGUAAUGCACGCAAACAGACUUUUCAGUCUUUCCAGUCUUUCCUGUUCACCCUGAUUUACCACUGGCUGGUGGCUCCCGCUCUAACAGUCUGCUCGCAGGCCAGAGAUGACGUCAUGGGCCUGGCUUUCCGAGCUCCUGCAGCUGCACACUGUCCUGAGAGACCCUCACCGCCUUCUGGAGGGAGAAAGGGUGCCUGCAGAGCUUCAAGCUACAGUUCUUAAAGUGCCAGGGAGCAGCCUUCUUUUCCAGGAGGUGCCUUCAGCUUCUAGAAGGCCCUGCUGCUGAGCUCAGCCCAAGCACUGAAGCUGUCUUUACUCAUGAGGCCCUGGAGUCUCUCCCUGAAAUCAAGCAUCAGCUCUGACCUGUCCCCACCCCGUCUACCCUUCACAUCUGCUCUUUGUUUAUACAUAGCUCAAGUGCCCUCUUCUGGGACUUCCAACCUCCAGACGUCCCUCAUCAGCCAGGGAGCAGAUCUCCUGCCAGAGAAGCUAAGACUGAGGCUUCACCCUCCUCCACACAGCACGCCGGGUAGCCACCACGGCCUGGAGAGAAUCGAGGGAUUCGGUGAAAUCUCCUUGCCAUCUCUGGGGUAAAAC